rnacentral:rRNA from 1 species
CAGGCCUAACACAUGCAAGUCGAACGAUGCUUUCGGGCAUAGUGGCGCACGGGUGCGUAACGCGUGGGAAUCUGCCCCUUGGUUCGGAAUAACAGCUAGAAAUGGCUGCUAAUACCGGACGACGACGUAAGUCCAAAGAUUUAUCGCCGAGGGAUGAGCCCGCGUAGGAUUAGCUAGUUGGUGUGGUAAAGGCGCACCAAGGCGACGAUCCUUAGCUGGUCUGAGAGGAUGAUCAGCCACACUGGGACUGAGACACGGCCCAGACUCCUACGGGAGGCAGCAGUAGGGAAUAUUGGGCAAUGGGCGAGAGCCUGACCCAGCCAUGCCGCGUGCAGGAAGAAGGCUUUCUGAGUCGUAAACUGCUUUUGACAGGGAAGAAUAAGCGCUACGUGUAGUGUGAUGACGGUACCUGCCGCAUAAC